rnacentral:misc_RNA from 1 species
AUCAAUUUUGUUUUUAGAUUCAAGAGUUUAGAAAGUGUUUUUACAUUAUUUUUAAGGUUUUUGAAUGAGCAAAAUAAUUUUUAUAAACUUGCUUCAAAAACUCAAAAUUUCAAAUUUUAAGUCAGAUAAUAGCUAAAUUAAUUAACUGGUUUUGUUGGCUAAAUUUUUCUUCGUUGGCUAAAAUUUUCUAUUUUACGAAAUUAGUUAACUAUUUUCAUGCUCUGACCUGACAUAACUCUGCUGCACGACUUUCAAAUAGGUAAAAGCUAGUUUUUUGAAAAUUAAAGAGCCGUU